AGUGAACGCUGGCGGUAGGCCUAACACAUGCAAGUCGAACGGAAGCACAGUAAGAGCUUGCUCUUACGGGUGGCGAGUGGCGGACGGGUGAGGAAUACAUCGGAAUCUACUUUUUCGUGGGGGAUAACGUAGGGAAACUUACGAUAAUACCGCAUAUGAUCAACGGGAGAAAGCAGGGGAUAUUCGGACCUUGCGCGUUUGAAUGAGCCGAUGUCGGAUUAGAUAGUUGGCGUGGUAAAGGACCACCAAGGCGACGAUACGUAGCUCGACUGAGCGGGUUGUCAGCCACACUGGAACUGAGACACGGUCCCGACUCCUACGGGGGGCAACCGUGGGGAAUAUUGGCCAAUGGGCGCAAGCCUUAUCCAGCCAUACCGCGUGGGUUAAGAAGGCCUUCGGGUUGGUAAGCCCUUUUGUUGGGAAAGAAAAACAGCAGGUUAAUACCCCGCUGUUCUGACGGUACCCAAAGAAUAAGCACCGGCUAACUUCGUG
rnacentral:rRNA from 1 species